rnacentral:rRNA from 1 species
AUGACAAUCAACAAAGCCCAGGGUCAAACCAUCCCAAAUGUUGGCGUAUAUCUUCCUGAGCCGGUGUUUUCUCAUGGACAACUCUAUGUUGCUUUGUCUAGAGGGACAUCAAGACAAACAACUAGAAUACUUGCAAGGCCAAAUACGGAUAAUGACCCAUCAGGGAAAAGCACAAAAAAUAUUGUCUACAGGGAUGUUUUGGUAUAA